rnacentral:rRNA from 1 species
GAGGCGAACCGGGGGAACUGAAACAUCUAAGUACCCCGAGGAAAAGAAAUCAACCGAGAUUCCGAAAGUAGCGGCGAGCGAAAUUGGACUAGCCCUUAAGCUUUACACGCGUUAGACGAACGGUCUGGAAAGUCCGACGAUACAGGGUGAUAGUCCCGUAGUUGACGACGUGUGUUCAGUGAAAUCGAGUAGGGCGGGACACGUGAUAUCCUGUCUGAAUAUGGGGGGACCAUCCUCCAAGGCUAAAUACUACUGACUGACCGAUAGUGAACCAGUACCGUGAGGGAAAGGCGAAAAGAACCCCUGUGAGGGGAGUGAAAUAGAACCUGAAACCGUGUACGUACAAGCAGUAGGAGCAGGCUUUGUCCUGUGACUGCGUACCUUUUGUAUAAUGGGUCAGCGACUUAUAUUCAGUGGCAAGGUUAACCAUCUAGGGGAGCCGUAGGGAAACCGAGUCUUAACUGGGCGUUCAGUCUCUGGAUAUAGACCCGAAACCAGGUGAUCUAGCCAUGGGCAGGUUGAAGGUUGAGUAACAUCAACUGGAGGACCGAACCGACUAAUGUUGAAAAAUUAGCGGAUGACUUGUGGCUAGGGGUGAAAGGCCAAUCAAACCUGGAGAUAGCUGGUUCUCCCCGAAAGCUAUUUAGGUAGCGCCUCGGACGAAUACUACUGGGGGUAGAGCACUGUUAAGGCUAGGGGGUCAUCCCGACUUACCAACCCUUUGCAAACUCCGAAUACCAGUAAGUACUAUCCGGGAGACACACGGCGGGUGCUAACGUCCGUCGUGGAGAGGGAAACAACCCAGACCGCCAGCUAAGGUCCCAAAUUACUACUAAGUGGGAAACGAUGUGGGAAGGCUCAGACAGCCAGGAUGUUGGCUUAGAAGCAGCCAUCAUUUAAAGAAAGCGUAAUAGCUCACUGGUCGAGUCGGCCUGCGCGGAAGAUGUAACGGGGCUAAGUAGUAAACCGAAGCUGCGGCAAUGUGCUUUUGCACAUUGGGUAGGGGAGCGUUCUGUAAGCGGUUGAAGGUGUGUGGUAACGGCAGGGUAAGUCGACCCCUAAGGCGAGGCCGAAAGGCGUAGUCGAUGGGAAACGGGUUAAUAUUCCCGUACUUCUUACAAUUGCGAUGGGGGGACGGAGAAGGCUAGGUGGGCCUGGCGACGGUUGUCCAGGUUCAAGUGCGUAGGCUUAAGAGUUAGGUAAAUCCGGCUCUUUUUAAGGCUGAGACACGACGUCGAGCACCUACGGGUGUGAAGUCAUUGAUGCCAUGCUUCCAGGAAAAGCCUCUAAGCUUCAGAUUGUAAGGAAUCGUACCCCAAACCGACACAGGUGGUCGGGUAGAGAAUACCAAGGCGCUUGAGAGAACUCGGGUGAAGGAACUAGGCAAAAUGGUACCGUAACUUCGGGAGAAGGUACGCUCUCGACGGUGAAGUCCCUUGCGGAUGGAGCUAUUGAGAGUCGCAGAUACCAGGUGGCUGCAACUGUUUAUUAAAAACACAGCACUGUGCAAAAUCGUAAGAUGACGUAUACGGUGUGACGCCUGCCCGGUGCCGGAAGGUUAAUUGAUGGGGUUAGACUUCGGUCGAAGCUCUUGAUCGAAGCCCCGGUAAACGGCGGCCGUAACUAUAACGGUCCUAAGGUAGCGAAAUUCCUUGUCGGGUAAGUUCCGACCUGCACGAAUGGCGUAAUGAUGGCCACGCUGUCUCCACCCGAGACUCAGUGAAAUUGAAAUCGCUGUGAAGAUGCAGUGUACCCGCGGCUAGACGGAAAGACCCCGUGAACCUUUACUACAGCUUGGCACUGAACAUUGACCCUACAUGUGUAG